ACGACGUGGGAAUCGUACCCGAAUCUAGGUACGGAAAUAACGAUUUAGGAAACAAAUGCCUAAUACCGUAAUAUUCUCUACGGAGGAAAGAUUAUCGCUGAUGAGUGAGCCGCGUAAGAUUACGGUAGUUGGUAGGGUAAUGGCCUACCAAGCCGACGAUCUUUAGCUGGUCUGAGAGGAUGAUCAGCCGACACUGGGACUGAGACACGGUCCCAGGACUCCUACGGGAGGCAGCAGUGGGGAAUAUUGGACAAUAGGGCGAAAGCCUGAUCCAGCAAUACCGCGUGAAUGAUGAAGGCC
rnacentral:rRNA from 1 species